CGCUGCCUGAGGCGUCAACAUGCCUGCCUGCAAUGUGUUUGUGCACAUGCGUGCACACGCGUAUGUGGGGCCUAGGGGAUGCCAAAUUCCAGGGGCCAGAAAGAGCUUGGGAUAAAAUGAAACUUCAAGGGGACGGCUUUGACCUGGGCUGAGUCUACCUGUGCCAUCCAACUGGAGUCUCAAGUCCUGAGGCAGGACGUCCAGAUGCCCCAGUGCAGGGCCCUCCUGAUCAACACCUGCUCCCCUCUACUCAUUAGCAACCUCACCCACCCUACUCUCAAAGCACACUUGGCUCUCGUAUCCAGGAGCUCUGCAUCUGUAGAUUCAGCAACAGCAGAUGGAAAAUAUUCAGAAAAUAAAUUGGACGGUUAUGUUUGUAUUGAA